rnacentral:rRNA from 1 species
CAAUAGCGUAUAUUAAAGUUGUUGCAGUUAAAAAGCUCGUAGUUGGAUUUCUGUCAAGGACAACUGGUCCGCCCUCCGGGUGAGCACAUAGUUUGGUCUUGGCAUCUUGCUGGAAACUGUUGCUGCACUUGGCUGUGUGGCGCAGCGUCCAGCACUUUCACUUUGAGGAAAUUGGAGUGUUUCAAGCAGGCACAUGCCUUUGGACACAGUAGCAUGGAAUAAUUAGAUUGGGCUUUUGCUCCAAUUUGUCGGUUUCUGGAGCUGAGGUGAGAAUUAAUGGGGAUUGUUGGGGGCAUCCGAAUUUAGCCGUCAGAGGUGAAAUUCUUGGAUCUGCUAAAGACGGACAACUGCGAAAGCGUUUGCCCAGGAUGUUUUCAUUGA